CCGACGGUAGCUCAGCUGGUAGAGCGGAGGACUGUAGAUGUCGCAGAUAUCCUUAGGUCGGUGGUUCGAGUCCGCCCCGUCGGA
rnacentral:tRNA from 1 species